UCGAUUUACAGUAACUUGCUGGCAACCGUGCUGCCUGUAAUUUACUGAAAUCGUUUGUUUCUGCUUGACCAAAUGCCUAUGAUAUACAUUCAUUUGAAUAUUAUUUGGUUUCAGAUUGGUCAGUGUCCUGAUUGCCAGGCAAAGCGUGCCAGUCUAAAAGAAAAUAAACAGUACAACCCAAUAAAGGUAACCGAGCCAUUUGAACUGGUGGGGAUGGACCUUAUGAAGCUGACUGUAACUGAGGGUGGUAAUCAAUACAUUUGUGUAAUGGUUGAUUAUUUCACAAAGUGGGCAGAGGCCUAUCCUCUGAAGAAUAAAUCAGCAGAGGAGGUGACCAAUUGUAUUUUGGAUUUUGUAUACAAAUUGGUGUACCUCAGAGACUGCUUACAGACCAGGGGACAAAAUCCAGGUGAAUGCCAGGCUCUGUGAAGCCCUUGGCAUUCAACGGAGCUUCUGUUCCUCAUACCACCCUCAAACAAAUGGCUUGGUUGAGAAGCUUAAUGGCACCAUCCAGAGGUCUCUCAACAAACCAGCCAGGAACACGCCAACACAAUGGGACCAGUUCCUCCAGCCAGUCAUGUUCGGACUCAGGACUAAAAAACAGUUGACCACACAGUAUAGUCCAUAUUUUCUACUGUUUGGAAGGGAGGCCAGGUACCCAUCUGAGGUGCCUGAAGAGUAUGAGGUGACAUUUGUAGGUCUACAAUUGGUUGGUCAAACAACAGAAACCGUGGCCAACAUUGACCAACUGACCCAUUUUAUAGAGCCAGAAGAGAGGAUUCCUGCUAAGCUAAAAAAGGUUAGCAACUCCUCUUUUGGCCUGCCCCUCCCAUUCACACUCUCCUUCACAACAACCAAACGUCCACUCCAGCUCUGCCACAAAUCUCCCCUCAAACUCUCAACCCCAAACACCUGCCAUCAACUCCUCUGACCCUCUACCAGCCACAUCCCCAGGAGAGAGUCCUCUCCACAGUAAUGUUCUUGGACAUAAUUCAGGAAUAGGGGAGAUUCUAUUGGCCAAGUUGGGCCCCUAUAAGCUUUUUACAGCUGAUUUUAACAACUUGGCUCCUGGGAGGGAAUUGGAGAGUGAGUACGGAUAACCCAAAAGCAUGUCAAGGUGAUUGAUACCUUUGAAAUGACAGCUAUCUGGAAUGGGACAUCAAAGGGGAUGAGAACGGUCAUGUAUCCAAAGGAGGGCAGAUCUAUUUUUGUUGAUCCAUUUGGAGCCACUCCACAACAAGUCACACACUGUAGGAAUGCAACAAGGGCAUUCAUGCGGAAAAAAACCCCAUUAAUAUGUCAAGAUGGAGGGGUGACACGGUGUCACAUCCCAGUCAGCAGGAUUUCACAUCCUGUGGAGUGUUGGUGUGCAAAGUGGCAGAGCUGCUCCUAAAUGGAGCCAGUAUGGAAUCUGAUGUUAAUGCGGCAGGCAUCAACAUCAUGAGGGAAGAGAUUGCCAGGAGACCGAUGGCUGAUUCUGACAACCUCAAUGAACUCUGCCACUGUUGCGGGGAAAUGAACACUGGGGAAAGUGACACCUUAGAGGCCCCUGUGGAC